rnacentral:rRNA from 1 species
ACACAUGCAAGUCGAGCGGAAAGGCCCCUUCGGGGGUACUCGAGCGGCGAACGGGUGAGUAACACGUGAGCAACCUGCCCCUGACUCUGGGAUAAGCCCGGGAAACUGGGUCUAAUACCGGAUAUGACCACUCCAGGCAUCUGGUGGUGGUGGAAAGUUUUUCGGUUGGGGAUGGGCUCGCGGCCUAUCAGCUUGUUGGUGGGGUGAUGGCCUACCAAGGCGACGACGGGUAACCGGCCUGAGAGGGCGACCGGUCACACUGGGACUGAGACACGGCCCAGACUCCUACGGGAGGCAGCAGUGGGGAAUAUUGCGCAAUGGGCGGAAGCCUGACGCAGCGACGCCGCGUGGGGGAUGACGGCCUUCGGGUUGUAAACCCCUUUCAGCAGGGACGAAGCUAACGUGACGGUACCUGCAGAAGAAGCGCCGGCUAACUACGUGCCAGCAGCCGCGGUAAUACGUAGGGCGCAAGCGUUGUCCGGAAUUAUUGGGCGUAAAGAGCUCGUAGGCGGUUUGUCGCGUCUGUCGUGAAAGCCCACGGCUUAACCGUGGGUCUGCGGUGGAUACGGGCAGACUAGAGGCAGGU